rnacentral:rRNA from 1 species
AACGAACGCUGGCGGCAUGCCUAACACAUGCAAGUCGAACGAGACCUUCGGGUCUAGUGGCGCACGGGUGCGUAACGCGUGGGAACCUGCCCUUAGGUUCGGAAUAACUCCCCGAAAGGGGUGCUAAUACCGGAUAAUGUCUUCGGACCAAAGAUUUAUCGCCUUUGGAUGGGCCCGCGUUGGAUUAGCUAGUUGGUAGGGUAAAAGCCUACCAAGGCGACGAUCCAUAGCUGGUCUGAGAGGAUGAUCAGCCACACUGGGACUGAGACACGGCCCAGACUCCUACGGGAGGGAGCAGUGGGGGAUAUUGGACAAUGGGCGAGGGCCUGAUCCAGCAAUGCCGGGUGAGUGAUGAAGGGGGUAGGGUUGUAAAGCUCUUUUACCCGGGAUGAUAAUGACGGUACCGGGAGAAUAAGCACCGGCUAACUCCGUG